rnacentral:rRNA from 1 species
AUUGAACGCUGGCGGCAGGCCUAACACAUGCAAGUCGCACGAGUGGCGGACGGGUGAGUAAUGUCUGGGCAACUGCCUGAUGGAGGGGGAUAACUACUGGACACGGUAGCUAAUACCGCAUACCAUCAGAUGUGCCCAGAUGGGAUUAGCUAGUUGGUGGGGGAACGGCUCACCAAGGAGACGAUCCCUAGCUGGUCUGAGCGGAUGACCAGCCACACGGGAACGUAGACACGGUCCAGACUCCUACGGGAGGCAGCAGUGGGGAAUAUUGCACAAUGGGCGCAAGCCGGAUGCAGCCAUGCCGCGUGUAUGAAGAAGGCCUUCGGGUUGUAAAGCACUGUCAGCGGGGAGGCGUUACCCGCAGAAGGAGCACCGGCGAACUCCGUGCCAGCAGCCGCGGUAAUUC